AACGAACGCUGGCGGCAUGCCUAACACAUGCAAGUCGAACGAGACCUUCGGGUCUAGUGGCGCACGGGUGCGUAACGCGGGGGAACCUGCCCUUAGGUUCGGAAUAACUCCCCGAAAGGGGUGCUAAUACCGGAUAAUGUCUUCGGACCAAAGAUUUAUGGCUUUGGGAUGGGCCCGCGUUGGAUUAGCUGGUUGGUAGGGUAAAAGCCUACCAAGGCGACGUUGCAUGGCUGGUCUGUGAGGAGGACCAGCCACACUGGGGAUGAGCCACGGCCCAGACUCCUACGGGAGGCAGCAGUGGGGAAUAUUGGAGAAGGGGCGAAAGCCUGAUCCAGCAAUGCCGCGUGAGUGAUGCAGGCGUUAGGGUUGUAAAGCUCUUUUACCUGGGAUGAUAAUGACAGUACCGGGAGAAUAAGCACCGGCUAACUCCGUG
rnacentral:rRNA from 1 species